CAGCAGCCGCGGUAACACGGAGGGAGCUAGCGUUGUUCGGAAUCACUGGGCGUAAAGCGCACGUAGGCGGCUACUCAAGUCAGGGGUGAAAGCCCGGGGCUCAACCCCGGAACUGCCUUUGAAACUAGAUAGCUUGAAUCUUGGAGAGGCGAGUGGAAUUCCGAGUGUAGAGGUGAAAUUCGUAGAUAUUCGGAAGAACACCAGUGGCGAAGGCGACUCGCUGGACAAGUAUUGACGCUGAGGUGCGAAAGCGUGGGGAGCAAACAGGAUUAGAUACCCCCGUAGUCCCUGUCUCUUAUAC
rnacentral:rRNA from 1 species